rnacentral:rRNA from 1 species
GGACGAACGCUGGCGGCGUGCUUAACACAUGCAAGUCGAGCGGUAAGGCCCUUUCGGGGGUACACGAGCGGCGAACGGGUGAGUAACACGUGGGUGACCUGCCCUCAGCUCUGGGAUAAGCCUGGGAAACUGGGUCUAAUACCGGAUAUGACUCCAUGACGCAUGUUGUGGGGUGGAAAGCCUUGUGCGGCUGAGGAUGGGCCCGCGGCCUAUCAGCUUGUUGGUGGGGUGANGGCCUACCAAGGCGACGACGGGUAGCCGGCCUGAGAGGGCGACCGGCCACACUGGGACUGAGACACGGCCCAGACUCCUACGGGAGGCAGCAGUGGGGAAUCUUGCGCAAUGGGCGAAAGCCUGACGCAGCGACGCCGCGUGAGGGAUGACGGCCUGGUUGUAA